rnacentral:snRNA from 1 species
GGAUGUGAGGGCGAUCUGGCUGCGACAUCUGUCACGCCAUUGAUCGCCAGGGUUGAUUCGGCUGAUCUGGCUGGCUAGGCGGGUGUCCCCUUCCUCCCUCGCCACUCCAUGUGUGUCCCUCCCGAAGCUGCGCACUCGGUCAAAGAGGACAACCUUCCCCGAUAGAGGAGAGGACCGUUCUUCGGUCAAGGGUAUACGAGUAGCUGCGCUCCCCUGCUAGAACCUCCAAACAAGCUCUCAAGAAAUUUCUGUGGCUGAUGUCGAAGAGGUUACUGCCUAUGUUCUCCUCUAGGACUUUGAUAGAUUCUGGCCUCACAUUGAGGUCUUUUAU